UACGAAGGGAGCUAGCGUUGUUCGGAAUCACUGGGCGUAAAGCGCACGUAGGCGGAUGUGUCAGUCAGGGGUGAAAUCCUGGAGCUCAACUCCAGAACUGCCUUUGAUACUGAGGAUCUUGAGUACGGGAGAGGUGAGUGGAACUGCGAGUGUAGAGGUGAAAUUCGUAGAUAUUCGCAAGAACACCAGUGGCGAAGGCGGCUCACUGGCCCGUAACUGACGCUGAGGCACGAAAGCGUGGGGAGCAAACAGG
rnacentral:rRNA from 1 species